AACGAACGCUGGCGGCAUGCCUAACACAUGCAAGUCGAACGAGACCUUCGGGUCUGGUGGCGCACGGGUGCGUAACGCGUGGGAACCUGCCCUUAGGUUCGGAAUAACUCCCCGAAAGGUGUGCUAAUACCGGAUAAUGUCUUCGGACCAAAGAUUUAUCGCCUUUGGAUGGGCCCGCGUUGGAUUAGCUAGUUGGUAGGGUAAAAGCCUACCAAGGCGACGAUCCAUAGCUGGUCUGAGAGGAUGAUCAGCCACACUGGGACUGAGACACGGCCCAGAAUCCUACGGGAGGCAGCAGUGGGGAAUAUUGGACAAUGGGCGAAAGCCUGAGCAAGCAAUGCCGCGUGAGUGAUGAAGGCCUUAGGGUUGUAAAGCUCUUUUACCCGGGAUGAUAAUGACAGUACCGGGAGAAUAAGCUCCGGCUAACUCCGUG
rnacentral:rRNA from 1 species